UGCUGUUUCCUUGUUGUUAUCGUGACCCUUUUGGUGCCGUCAACCAGGUUUUCAACAAUGUUGAAAAUGUUAAAAACACGUAUUCGUCGAAAAUAAAAACUAGUUUAAAACAUUUGCCAUGGUGGAGGGUGUCAAUGGAUGAAUGCCAAGACUAGACAGUUUUGGUGACUUCCCUGUAUUCGCACCCCGAAUGAGCCCAGAUAAAAACGAGUGGCAUUUACUGGACAUUUAUAAUAUACCAGCCUCUCCGCACCGUCUCCACGAAUGUUUACCACAACCCUGUGAAGGAGGCUCUUUUCCUCUCUCCUUUCCCAGAUGAGUAAACCCAGGGAGGGAAGUGACUUGCCCGGGGCCCUGCGGCCAGCAGCCUGGAGGUGUGGAACGAGGAUUCAAACCAGGUCUAGGAGACCCCUCGGCCCGUGUGCUCGCCAUUGCAGUUUUGCCACCUGGCCUUGUCCUCUGAAUCUUCGCGAAGUGCUCUUAGGGCCUAAUUGUCUGCGCCCUGGGCUGAGUGCUGUAAAGGUGAAUCACGGUGGGCACAGCGCACCACGACUCCUGUUGAGUGUAACAGGUUGUAAAACUCCGUGUUACCUGGCCCCGGCCUUAAUGAAAUAGUUUGAAGAACACGAAGAAAGUACACAUGAAGUUCAGUGGCAAGCUGGAUUUCCAUACUCAGGUCACCGGAGCUGGCCUUCUUCAGCACGCAAGUGUUCCAAUUAGACAUGGAAGCACUCUCCACUAUUAUGUCAUAUAUUUCUUGUGGGCUCAGAGAGAGAAGAAGAUGAGCUUACUAGUCAUGCCCUGUUGCCAUCACCGACUCCUGAGUUGGAAAUAUGAAGAAUUCUCAGCUCCCUCAUCUAUCUGUCCAUGCUCUUACCUCCGGUGUCCAAUCUGCCUCCUUUCUAUGCCAAUUGCCGGUUGAAAGUGCCUCUGGUCUUCCUCUUCUGAAUUCUGUGAAAUCAAUAAAAAGCAAGCGGCAGCAUGCA
rnacentral:lncRNA from 1 species